CCUACGGGGGGCAGCAGUGAGGAAUAUUGGUCAAUGGACGAGAGUCUGAACCAGCCAAGUAGCGUGAAGGAUGACUGCCCUAUGGGUUGUAAACUUCUUUUAUAUGGGAAUAAAACACGGCAUGCAUACCUUUUUGUACGUACCAUAUGCAUAAGGAUCGGCUAACUCCGUGCCAGCAGCCGCGGUAAUACGGAGGAUGCGAGCGUUAGCCGGAUUUAUUGGGUUUAAAGGGAGCGUAGGUGGAUUGUUAAGUGAGUAGUGAAAGUGUGCGGCUCAACCGUAAAAUUGCAGUUGAAACUGACAGUCUUGAGUACAUUAGAGGUGGGCGUAAUUCUUUGU
rnacentral:rRNA from 1 species